rnacentral:rRNA from 1 species
UGGGUAACCUACCCUCGAGUGGGGGAUAACCCGCCGAAAGGCGGGCUAAUACCGCGUACGCUUCCGAUCUCGCGGGAUCGGAAGGAAAGCUGUCCCAAGGGGAUGGCGCUCAAGGAUGGGCUCAUGUCCUAUCAGCUUGUUGGUAGGGUAACGGCCUACCAAGGCAUCGACGGGUAGCUGGUCUGAGAGGACGAUCAGCCACACUGGCACUGCGACACGGGCCAG